UGGGGAAUAUUGCACAAUGGGCGCAAGCCUGAUGCAGCAACGCCGCGUGAGGGAUGACGGCCUUCGGGUUGUAAACCUCUUUUAGUAGGGAAGAAGCGAAAGUGACGGUACCUGCAGAAAAAAGCACCGGCUAACUACGUGCCAGCAGCCGCGGUAAUACGUAGGGUGCGAGCGUUGUCCGGAAUUAUUGGGCGUAAAGAGCUCGUAGGCGGUCUGUCGCGUCUGCUGUGAAAACCCGAGGCUCAACCUCGGGCCUGCAGUGGGUACGGGCAGACUAGAGUGCGGUAGGGGAGAAUGGAAUUCCUGGUGUAGCGGUGGAAUGCGCAGAUAUCAGGAGGAACACCGAUGGCGAAGGCAGUUCUCUGGGCCGUAACUGACGCUGAGGAGCGAAAGCGUGGGGAGCGAACAGGAUUAGAUACCCUGGUAGUCCACGCCGUAAACGUUGGGCGCUAGAUGU
rnacentral:rRNA from 1 species